GACGAAGGGGGCUAGCGUUGUUCGGAAUUACUGGGCGUAAAGCGCGUGUAGGCGGUUGUUCAAGUCAGGUGUGAAAGCCUUGAGCUCAACUCAAGAAAUGCACUUGAUACUGGAUGACUAGAGGACCGGAGAGGAUAGUGGAAUUCCCAGUGUAGUGGUGAAAUACGUAGAGAUUGGGAAGAACACCAGUGGCGAAGGCGGCUAUCUGGACAAUUGCUGACGCUCAGGCACGAAAGCGUGGGGAGCAAAAGGG
rnacentral:rRNA from 1 species